rnacentral:rRNA from 1 species
GAGACAGCAGUAGCCGCGGUAAUACGAAGGGUGCAAGCGUUAAUCGGAAUUACUGGGCGUAAAGCGUGCGUAGGCGGUGAGUUAAGUCUGCCGUGAAAUCCCCGGGCUCAACCUGGGAAUGGCAGUGGAUACUGGCUCGCUAGAGUGUGUCAGAGGAUGGUGGAAUUCCCGGUGUAGCGGUGAAAUGCGUAGAGAUCGGGAGGAACAUCAGUGGCGAAGGCGGCCAUCUGGGACAACACUGACGCUGAGGCACAAAAGCGUGGGGAGCAAACAGGAUUAGAUACCCCCGUAGUCCCUGUCUCUUAUAC